ensembl:lncRNA
UGGCACGUUAUCAUCAGGAAUAAGCAGCAAACAUAAGAGGAGGGAGUGGGCGAGUGUAUGCGAGGCUGUGAAUGCUCUGGGGUCUGAGAACCGAACACAAGCGGAGGUCAAGAAGAAGUGGUACGACAUCAAGGUGGAUGUAAAGCGGAGACUGGCUGCCCAACAGGCGGGGGUGCAGGAGAAGAGGGGCCCACCCUGUUUGAACAGCGAGUCACCGCAAUUAUGGGUGACACUGCUCUCUCAGGGGUGGUGGGAGCACUCCGAUAACCCCCAAGAGUUGCAGCCACUUGCCACAAGCUCAAGUGAUUCCACUGGCAGGCCCAGUGUCUCCGGCGCCAGUAGACCGCAACCACCAGCUGCUGCUGUCCCCCCGACUGCUCGUGUCCUCACUCGUGCUGUGCUGGAGCCCCAAGAGGAAAUCGUGAGAGCAAUAGGCGGCAUAAAUGAUCGUCUAGAUCAAUUGAUAAGCGCCCUCACAAAUAUAGGGGAAUCGACAAAUGCAUUGGUGAAUAAGUGAAUUCUGCGUGCUUACCUCUUUUACAUGGUUGAAAUCAAAUGUUGCCAGGCCCGAAUGGCCUCCUGUGUAGGACAGAGAUUAAUGGGUCCAGCUUCUGGUUCGUCUGGUGGGGGGAUAUGCUGCUGUGGCAGUGGUAUGGUGUGCCGGUUUGCCACAUUGUGGAGGACGCCGCUCGCCAUCACAAUGCGGCACACCUUCUUGGGACUGUACAGCAGCAUACCCCCAGUCCGGUCCAAGUCACCUAUCUAGGGGUAGGAGCAGGUGCGGCCUCUAACUGCCAAAAUCCAGGCCAUCCUGGAUUUUCCGGUGCUGGAAAUGUGGCGGCAACCCACGCUGGUUCCUGGGAAUGUGUGGCUAUUAUCGUGGCUUCUGUAAGAAAUUUGUGUGGUAGUGCCACUCCCUACUUUGUUCAGUCUCUCUUGCCAUAUCACUUGGGUUACCAUGUGUGAGUCACUCAAUUUUGCCAAAGCUCUGCUUUGCAGUGCGCCUGUUUUAACUGCGCCUGAUUUUG